ACGAUUUAACCAAGUGGCUAAAUCGUAUGAAAUCAUACGAGCUGGCUCGUACGAAAUCGUACGAUUAGUUCAUCGCAUUUAACACAGCCCUGUGUUGCAGGUAUUUCGUGCGCAUUAAUACGAAUAGAUUAAAUCGUACUAUACCAUACGAUUUGUUCAUCGCAUUCAAGAAGCGUGACCCGUAGCCAGAAAAAUACCUCUGGGUGUGCAUCUGAAAAUCCGCGUGUGUCACAAGCAUGCAAGAUAAACGCUGGGGAAUUCAGGUGCUGUAAAUCCGGUGGACAGGACUCAUCUCGUUAUAGAUCAAGAUAAUUUAUAAAGAUCUUUAAACGAAGGAUUGGAAUAUCAGAUAGUUGACAUGGUUUGCCACUGUGGGUGGCUCCGGCACACCCGUGGCUACGCCCCUGCCGUGACCCAAAUCUCGUUCGCACAUAAUCGCGAUAUUUAUCAUCUGUUUACAAACGUCGCCACAUCUCGUUUCUUCACAUACAUCUCAUACUCCUCCAUCUACACGCUCCGCAACAUUUAAACCAACGGCUCUUUUAAGAGCCAUCACUUGCAAAAGCUCUCCUACUCACUCACUCACUCACUCACUCUCCAACUCACUCUCCUACUGACUCACUCACUCUCCAACUCACUCACUCUUCUAUAGGGCUGUGCAAAAUAAUCCGGUUCCGUGAUUAGAAGUAAAUCGUCAUCAGCUGCUUUCAGAUGGAGCGG